ensembl:lncRNA
CCGGGUCCCGGCCCAGCGCAGAAGUGCGUGAGCGGAGGCACGCCCCUGCGGACGUCAGCUCCCGGCGGCCCGCGCCGGCGCGAACCGGUUGAUGAAUGGUGAGGGCGGGCGCGUGAGUGGCUCUUGGUGGGGCCGACGGGAGCGCUGGAAGCCUGUGGGGAAGGGGCCGAGCGCGAGGGGGAGCCGUCUGGACGGGAGCGGCUCCCGCCGAGAACCCACCGCACCGAGCCACCUGGGCACGAGCGUCACGCGGAGGCCGGCGUCUGAGGGACGCGCCAGCCGAGCCGGGUUACCUCGGGCACGCGCCCUUGCCAUCUCCGUCAGCCAGGGACAUUUGUGUUGCCCGAGCGCCGGCCUGGUGACUCACGGCCGAAUGCGGGACGUGACGGGAGGAGCCGGCCUGGGUCUCGUCUUCAGAGCCCGGCCUGCGAGCUUUCGAAAGCCCGGGAGCUGUGGUGCUGCUGCCGCUGCUGCCACCGUGCAGUGGCCACACUGCCCAAACCCAGGGUUUCUGAAGAAGACUCUGGUCAUGUCAUGGACUGAUGUCAUUCUUUGCGUCAAAACCUAAGCUUUUCUUUUCUCAUUCUCAGCCCUGUGGUUCCACUGUCUAAUUAGGCCUUUAAGAAGGGAAAGCCUUACUGCAGUUUUGUGCCAUACAAGGGCGAGGGCGUCAUUGAUAAGCUGAAAAUCCUUUCUCCUCUGCUUUCUGGAAGGAGUAAACAAGACCUUUACCUGCUUUGCAGAACUUGGUUUCCCCCUAAUACUGAGGCCUUUUGUUUGCUGUUUUCCCUGAGCAUUAGAUUGAAGCAGGCUUUAGGGAUCAGAUUGUGUCCACAGUCACUAUAAUGUAUCAUCUCAGGAUUUAUUAGACCUUCUAAUUAGAGACUGGUUGUACAGUUAUUCAACUUUCUUAUAAAAAUGUACUCUAAGCAAAGUAAGUGCUUUUGAGGAACAGAAUUAGGCUAGACUUUUGAAAGAACAAAAGUCAACUCAUCUUCAUUUUAAAGAAAACUGCCUGCCUAGCAAUCCAUUUAAGUGAAGGAAAACUAGAGAGCCUGAGAUACAGAUUAUGUCCCUUCACAAAUAUAAAAAGAAUAAGUCUGAGAGAAUAUAGGAAGAUUUAAAAAGUCCUGUGAUGGUAAGGUUGAAGCUAAGCAGACCAGGGAACUCAAAUCUCAAAGAAAAAGAUUCAUUUUAUAGAAAUUAAAAACUCAUGGCAAGUGACAAAUAGUAAUUUCAUGUUGCGGUAAAAUAGUGGCAAUCUGUAGCACAGGCAGAUUUAAAUGACAAGGUUGUUUAACGUAGAAAGCAUAACUAAAGACAGCCAAUCUUACCCCCAAGCUAAUACAGUGUUGAUAACUAGAAUAGUGAAACUAUUCUGCAUGUAAUGACUUUUCAAAAAAAGGUGGGAUAAGAUCUAGACUCCACAAAUGCUAAGCAGAGCUCUGUCUGCGUUAAGCUAGUUUUCUUGUAGAGUUUGUGAUACAAGCUGUGACUUGUGCUCCACAGAUCCUGUGAUUACCACCAGCAGUGCUGACAUGAAGUACUGAGCUAUGCUCUUCUAGCCCAAAUGCUGUGCUCAAACUGGGAGAAUCAGCCUCCCGGGCAACGUAUCACCCUGUCCUACUUUGAAAAGGACAUAGUUCAAGGAUGAAGAACAGAGGCUUUUGCUGCUGAGAGAACAUAUUUUAAACAAGUCAUAAGUGGAGGCUUGAUAACCAGCCUGCUAAAUUCUCUUAGGGUAGUCAUGGGUCUGCCUCUCUGGCCACUGCCAUGUUAUGUAUCCUGAGCUGCAGUGGCUCACUGCUGUGCAGAAGGUAUCUGCUCUAUUGAGUCCAAUAGUUUCAAGCUGCUGAUUCUCAGAGCAGUAAUCCAUCCCAGCAUUGGUCUGAAGAACCCUGUGAACUGAGAAUUCACUAACCUUCACAGACUGGCUCGGCACUAGCACCUCUACUUCUCUACAGGUGUACAAAAGAAAUGGAAGAUUCAUCCUUUUCAGGCAAGUCUUCCAAGGUCCCUUGCUUUUACUUUGAAAAUCUGACUUGAUCCUUUGAAGAUGGAGAUGGGUCUGCCAUGGCCAUCCAUACACCUGUGCUUCGCACGUCUCUGAGGGCCUGCAGAGCUCAAGUUCUCUGCUGAACCACCUAAAGCUCCUCUGAAGAAGGGAGGGUUGGUCAGCAUUGGUCUCCUGUUAGUAGACAGCAAUUGUUCCAGGAGGGGAAAGAUUAGCAGAAACAGACUGAUGGUUUUUCUAGGAAUUCAUGGAGUAAUUGCUGCUUUGCUUGGCUCUGUUCUAGUAUUGACUACAUGUGAACAUCUUUAGCAGAAAGCCUACCAUGAGGGUCAGAGCUGCCAAUGCUGCACUCAAAUAUCUUCUCCUUGUAUGGUUCUGACACAGUUUCCAUGAGGAUCUACUGUGGAUUGGACUAGUCUAAGAGGAGGCCAUGGAAACAAGAAUAAGACUGCACCCCAAACUGACCUAUGUAUACGCAGAGAGGGAAUCCUGUUUGUUAAAAUGUGUAAAGAUGUGGGCCAGAGACUUAGCUCAGUGGUUCCACUGCCUGCCUCG